GGAGAGAUGUCAGAGCGGUUUAUUUUGCUCGCUUGGAAAGCGGGUGUACCUUUUGGUACCGAGGGUUCAAAUCCCUCUCUCUCCACCA
rnacentral:tRNA from 1 species